GGAUUGCCUCAGUAACGGCGAGUGAAGCGGCAACAGCUCAAAUUUGAAAUCUGGCCUUCCGGGCCCGAGUUGUAAUUUGCAGAGGGAGUUUCGGGGGCGGCGCCGGCCUAAGUUCCUUGGAACAGGGCGUCACAGAGGGUGAGAAUCCCGUACGUGGCCGGCGGCCAACCCCGUGUGAAACCCCUUCGACGAGUCGAGUUGUUUGGGAAUGCAGCUCAAAACGGGUGGUAAAUUUCAUCUAAAGCURAAUACCGGCCGGAGACCGAUAGCGCACAAGUAGAGUGAUCGAAAGAUGAAAAGCACUUUGGAAAGAGAGUUAAACAGUACGUGAAAUUGUUGAAAAGGAAGCGCUUGCAACCAGACUUGCUCGCGGGCGAUCAGCCCCCCUUCGCGGGGGGUGCACUCGCCCGCGAUCAGGCCAGCAUCGGUUCCGGCGGGCGGAUAAAGGCNCCAGGAAUGUAACUCCUCCCGGGGAGUGUUAUARCCUGGGGUGCCAUGCGCCCCGCCGGGACCGAGGACCGCGCUUCGGCUAGGAUGCUGGCGUAAUGGUUGCAAGCGACCCGUCUUGAAACACGGACCAAGGAGUCUAACACCUGUGCGAGUGUUUGGGUGCCGAAACCCAUGCGCGGAAUGAAAGUGAACGGAGGUGGGAACCCUUCCGGGGGCGCACCAUCGACCGAUCCAGAUGUCUUCGGAUGGAUUUGAGUANGAGCACAGUUGUUGGGACCCGAAAGAUGGUGAACUAUACGUGAAUAGGGUGAAGCCAGAGGAAACUYUGGUGGAGGCUCGCAGCGGYUMUGACGUGCAAAUCGAUCGUCAAAUUUGCGUAUAGGGGCGAAAGGCGAGUUUUUCCAUUCCGGCGCAAGGGGGGGUCCAAUUGCUAACAAUUUAUACAGACUAAUCGAACCAUCUAGUACGCCGCUACUAGAGACACCGAAUCCCAAAUGACAGAAGUAGUCCCCCCGUCGGUGGGGGCGACACCGCCGGUCUUCGGGGACGCCCACGCGGGCCAUCCGCACCGAGCUCCGGCUCGGUCACAGACUAAGUGGCGGAGGCCGCGGAACCCUCCUGCGGUUAGGAU
rnacentral:rRNA from 1 species